rnacentral:sRNA from 1 species
GAGGUCGAGGCUGAAGUGAGCUGUGAACAUGCCACUGCACUCCAGCCUGUGUGACAGAGUAAGACUCUCUGUAUUAAAAAAAAAAAGGCUCUCACUGGGCACUGAAUGCCUAUGCCUAGAUUUUGGACUUCCCAGCCUCUAGAACUGUGAGAAAUAAAUUUCUAUUGCUUAUAAAUGACCCAGUCUGUGGUAUUUUGUAACAGCAACACAGACUAAGGCAUGUUUGCUGUAACUCUAGGUCCCAGAGGCUUCAGUUUCCUCUAGUGACCUCUAGUUUUUCCUCUAGUUUUUUUUGUCUUGUGCUUUCUUAAGAACCUUCUUAAAUAGAGUCUGAGUCUUGCUGCACUUUCACAUAUAAUCCACUGUUAUUUUACUGGAGUCCUAUUGUUGUGGUGCUAAAGUGAAGAUACCAUUUCAUACUCACUAGGCUAUAAUAAAAAAGAUGGAGAGUAAAAAAUUUUGGUGAAGACAUGGAGAAAUUGGCACCCUCAUACAUUGCUACUGGGAAUGUAAAAUGGUGUAGCCAUUUUGGAAAACUGUUUAGCAGUUUUUCAAAAUUAAACAUGGGGCAACCAUUUGAUUCAGCAUUUCAACUUCCAGAUAUAUGCCUAGGAGAAUUGAAAACAUAUGUCCACACGAAAAUUUGUACACAGAUGUUCAUGGCAGCAUUAUUUAUAAUAGCCAAAAAGUGGAACCAAUCCAACUAUCCAUCAACUGACAUGGAUAAAUAAAAGGUGACAUAUACACACAAUGGAAUACUAUUUGGCCAUAAAAAGGAAAGAGGUACUGAUAUAUGGUACUACAUGGAUGAACUUUGAAAACAUUAUGCUAAGUGAAAACAGCCAGUCACAAAAUCAUAUGAUUAUAUUUAUAUGAAAUGUCCAGAACAGGCAAAUCUAUAGAGACAGAAAGUAUUCAUAGAUUAGUGGUUGCCAGGGGCUGGGGUCAAAACGAUGAAAAUGUUUUAAAAUUAGAUAGUGGUCAUGCUUGCAUGAUUUUCUGAAUAUACAAAAAAAAAAUCACCGACUGGCAUACGUUAAAAGGAUGAAUUUUAUGUUAUGUGAAUUAUAUUCAAAUAUUAAUAAAACUGUUAUAGAAAUAUAAGGGGUUUGGCUCCCACAUUAUGCUCAUUGAAAAGUUCUGCCACAAACAAACUGCAGUUUGUGCCUUCAGCAGUGCCUGUGAGUAUGUGGUCGUUUUCUUCUUCUGUAAGUCCUGUGUUUCAUGUCUGGAUUGGGCACCGUGUGCACAUUUGUACUGUCUCAACAAAUGGCUUCUUGGAACAAAGCUGUUAGCCUGGGCCUCACUCUUGAGGCACCAUAACAGUGGUGCAGACCCCAGAUGAGAAAGUUAGGAAACAGAGCCAGUGGUGGUGUCCCAAUGCACCACCCUGGGUCUGUGUGGAUGGAAGGUGCCCAGGUGCUGGAGUGUGGGCUUCUGCUUUCCACUCCUGCCAGACUUAGGUGAGCUCCCAAAAACUUCCCGUAUGUCCCGUGCAGGGGUAAUGGGGUGCUGGGGAGAGGGGAAAGGUCGACUGGGUUCUGGGCUGGUGGGAGGCUGGGGCACAGCUUGGUCUGAGCAGUUUGGUGGGUGGGCCCUCGUGGUGGGGGUUCUGCCAGGCAGGUGGAACGGCAACACCAACACCUGAGCUUGCCCAGUACUCAGGGCUCGAUUUGUCAUACUGAUGCAGGGCUAGAUUGGGGCUGACAGCCCCUGGGCACUCCUGAUGCCCGAAGUGCCCAGGGGCUGUGAGCCCCCAUCUAGCACUGGCUCCUUCUAAGGCAAAGUUAUAUUCCUGUAGCUGCUUUCUCUCUGUGCCUUCUGAAGGCUAAGUUGAACAGAGGAAACUACAGAAAUUGCUCCGAAACACAUUACCGUGUGCUUUUAAAACUUAAAAGCUGUGUGGUUAGCAAACUUUUAAUUGCAAAAUGAGGAUAACUGAAAACGGAAAGUACUGGAGUUUUAAAAUCAAGCAGCGACUUUUGUCAUGGGGAUCUGGAUAUAAAAUGCGAAGAUUAGAAAUGGAAAUCACCUUUGCAGUAGAAGAAAAAUUGAAGUCAGAAGUGCUAAGUGGAAACUAUAAUCACUUGUUCUAAAUUGCCAGUUCCUUAUUUGCAAAUGAAUAACCUAGGAUCAGUGGUGAAAGACAUGACUUUUUUUCUUAUUUAGGUGUCGAUCUUAAAUCAGCUCAUGCUGAUUUUUGGCUCCUGUUUGCCAGGGUUACUUCUCCAGUGGCCUCCUCUCCUACCCCACAUUUCUAGGUUACAGCUAUUGCUCCUGCACUGGCAGCUGUCUAGGCUGGUCUAGGCUGUGGGGAGGAGAGGGGAGGAUGGGAGGGAAUGGUUUUGCCAAACUUCCCUUUCUGAGCCCCUGCUGACCCAUGAACACCCCCUUUGAUGCAUGAGGGUGAAAAUGAAAGCAGGAACCAUGGGCCUUCUGCUUCCUUCUCGGGGCCUAUUUGCUGUACUGCCGCAGGCUCCCAGGGUUCCCUGGUUGUGACUCGUGAGACUACAGUGGGUUUGUCCUAUGCAGAAACCUCCAAGAAUGACAGAUCUUAGAUUAGGUUGCCUUUACUUUUUCUAGAAAGUGGUGAUUGGGAAGUAGCCAUUCCUUCCGUCCCACCAGCCUCCCUGUUUUUUCAGAGAGCACAAUUGCAUUCCAUCCUGUAGUUGGGAAUUCCCCCCACUCCUUUUUUUUUAAUUGAGACAGAGUCUUGCUCUGUCACCCAGGCUGGAAUGCAGUGGCAUGAUCUUGGCUCACUGCAACCUCUGCCUCCCGGGUUCAAGUGAUUCUCCUGCCUCAGCCUCUUGAGUAGCUGGGAUUACAGGCGCCUGCCACCAUGCCCGGCUAAUUUUUGUAUUUUUAGUAGAGAUGGGGUUUAACCAUGUUGGCCAGGUGGGUCUUGAACUCCUGACUUCAGGUGAUCCACCCGCCUCGGCCUCCCAAAGUGCUGGGAUUACAGGUGUGAGCCACUGUGCUCAGCUUGAAUUCUUGUAUUUUCUCCAGACCAGUGUCCUCACCUUUCAGGAUCCUGCUCACAUAUCACCUCUUCUGGGAGGUCUUACCAGGUUGCAGUUUGAUGUCCAGGCUAUCCCCUUAGCUUUGUGACUUCAGGUCAUUUCAUGGGCAACAACACAGUGCUGGAUGUUUUGCGGCGUGAAGGCUAUGAGGUAGAACACGCCCCUGCUGGACGACCCAUCCACAAAGGGAAGAGUAAAAAGACCUCCACACGGCCCACUCUGUCCACCAUCUUUGCUCCAAAAGUCCCUACCCUGGAAGUACCGGCACCAGAAGCCGUAUCCUCAGGGCACUCAACGCUGCCUCCCCUUGUGUCCCGGCCUGGAAGUGCCGACCCGCCCAGUGAGGCCGAGCAGAGGUUCCGGAAGAAGCGGAGGCGGUCACAGCGGAGGCCGCGACUCCGGCAAUUCAGCGAUCUGUGGGUCCGCCUGGAGGAGAGUGACAUAGUCCCGCAACUCCAGGUCCCUGUCCUGGACAGGCACAUCUCCACUGAACUGCGGCUCCCUCGCCGUGGGCAUUCCCACCACAGCCAGAUGGUGGCCAGCAGUGCCUGCCUGUCUCUCUGGACUCCUGUGUUCUGGGUGCUGGUGCUGGCUUUCCAAACAGAGACACCCCUCCUGUAACGACUGGAAGCACCAGGCUAAGACCCUGACCCCUCGGACUUGAAGAAUGGCCAUUCCUGUACUCCACAUUCUGGUCUAGCCUUGUUGGGCCCAAUCCAGAAGAGACUGCUCUUGAAAAAGCGGCCCAGUGUUGAUUCUUCUCUUUCCAAGGAAUGUGACUUUGGGUUAUCCAACUUUGGGGGCAGGUGUACAGUUUUGUAACAUAGUGAGUUGUGUGAAAAUAAAUUAUAAAUGAGUUGUAUGAAAAUAAA